AGAGUUUGAUCCUGGCUCAGGACGAACGCUGGCGGCGCGCCUAAUACAUGCAAGUCGAGCGGACAGAUGGGAGCUUGCUCCCUGAAGUCAGCGGCGGACGGGUGAGUAACACGUGGGCAACCUGCCUGUAAGACUGGGAUAACUUCGGGAAACCGGAGCUAAUACCGGAUAACACCGAGGACCUCAUGGUCCUUGGUUGAAAGAUGGCUUCGGCUAUCACUUACAGAUGGGCCCGCGGCGCAUUAGCUAGUUGGUGAGGUAACGGCUCACCAAGGCGACGAUGCGUAGCCGACCUGAGAGGGUGAUCGGCCACACUGGGACUGAGACACGGCCCAGACUCCUACGGGAGGCAGCAGUAGGGAAUCUUCCGCAAUGGACGAAAGUCUGACGGAGCAACGCCGCGUGAGCGAUGAAGGCCUUCGGGUCGUAAAGCUCUGUUGUUAGGGAAGAACAAGUACCGUUCGAAUAGGGCGGUACCUUGACGGUACCUAACCAGAAAGCCACGGCUAACUACGUGCCAGCAGCCGCGGUAAUACGUAGGUGGCAAGCGUUGUCCGGAAUUAUUGGGCGUAAGCGCGCGCAGGCGGUUCCUUAAGUCUGAUGUGAAAGCCCACGGCUCAACCGUGGAGGGUCAUUGGAAACUGGGGAACUUGAGUGCAGAAGAGGAAAGCGGAAUUCCACGUGUAGCGGUGAAAUGCGUAGAAGAUGUGGAGGACACCAGUGCGAAGCGGCUUUUCUGGUCUGUAACUGACGCUGAGCGCGAAAGCGUGGGGAGCAAACAGGAUUAGAUACCCUGUAGACGCCGUAAACGAUGAGUGCUAAGUGUUAGGGGGUUUCCGCCCCUUUAGUGCUGCAGCUAACGCAUUAAGCACUCCGCCUGGGGAGUACGGCCGCAAGGCUGAAACUCAAAGGAAUUGACGGGGGCCCGCACAAGCGGUGGAGCAUGUGGUUUAAUUCGAAGCAACGCGAAGAACCUUACCAGGUCUUGACAUCCUCUGACAACUCUAGAGAUAGAGCGUUCCCCUUCGGGGGACAGAGUGACAGGUGGUGCAUGGUUGUCGUCAGCUCGUGUCGUGAGAUGUUGGGUUAAGUCCCGCAACGAGCGCAACCCUUGAUCUUAGUUGCCAGCAUUCAGUUGGGCACUCUAAGGUGACUGCCGGUGACAAACCGGAGGAAGGUGGGGAUGACGUCAAAUCAUCAUGCCCCUUAUGACCUGGGCUACACACGUGCUACAAUGGACGGUACAAAGAGUCGCGAGACCGCGAGGUGGAGCUAAUCUCAUAAAACCGUUCUCAGUUCGGAUUGUAGGCUGCAACUCGCCUACAUGAAGCCGGAAUCGCUAGUAAUCGCGGAUCAGCAUGCCGCGGUGAAUACGUUCCCGGGCCUUGUACACACCGCCCGUCACACCACGAGAGUUUGCAACACCCGAAGUCGGUGAGGUAACCGUAAGGAGCCAGCCGCCUAAGGUGGGGUAGAUGAUUGGGGUGAAGUCGUAACAAGGUAGCCGU
rnacentral:rRNA from 1 species